rnacentral:rRNA from 1 species
AACGAACGCUGGCGGCGUGCCUAACACAUGCAAGUCGAACGGAAUAAGGGGCUUGCUCCUUAUUUAGUGGCGCACGGGUGAGUAACGCGUAGAUAAUCUGCCUGACGAUCCGGGAUAACACUUCGAAAGGAGUGCUAAUACCGGAUAAGCCCACGUGGUCUUCGGAUCGUGCGGGAAAAGGGGGGGACCUUCGGGCCUUCUGUCGUCAGAUGAGUCUGCGUACCAUUAGCUAGUUGGUAGGGUAAAGGCCUACCAAGGCGACGAUGGUUAGCUGGUCUGAGGGGAUGAUCAGCCACACUGGAACUGAGACACGGUCCAGACUCCUACGGGAGGCAGCAGUGGGGAAUUUUGCGCAAUGGGCGAAAGCCUGACGCAGCAACGCCGCGUGAGUGAUGAAGGCUUUCGGGUCGUAAAGCUCUGUCAGGGGGAAAGAAGUGUAGGCGGUUAAUAGCCGACCUAUUUGACGGUACCCACAAAGGAAGCACCGGCUAACUCCGUGCCAGCCGCCGCCGUAACAC